rnacentral:tRNA from 1 species
CGCGGGGUAGCGCAGCGGUAGAGCAGUAGACUCAUAAUCUACAGGUCGGCGGUUCGAUUCCGCCCCCCGCAA